rnacentral:rRNA from 1 species
AUUGAACGCUGGCGGCAGGCCUAACACAUGCAAGUCGAACGAGUGGCGGACGGGUGAGUAAUGUCUGGGAAACUGCCUGAUGGAGGGGGAUAACUACUGGAAACGGUAGCUAAUACCGCAUACCAUCAUCUGUGUCCAGAUGGGAUUAGCUGGGUGGUGGGGUAACGGCUCACCAAGGCGAACCACCCCAGCUGGUCUGAGAGGAUGACCAGCCACACGGGAAGUGAGACACGGUCCAGACUCCUACGUGAGGCAGCAGUGGGGAAUAUUGCACAAUGGUCGCAAGCCUGAUGCAGCCAUGCCGCGUGUAUGAAGAAGGCCUUCGGGUUGUAAAGUACUUUCAGCGGGGAGGCGUUACCCGCAGAAGAAGCACCGGCUAACUCCGUGCCAGCAGCCGCGGUAAUAC